AACGAACGCUGGCGGCAGGCCUAACACAUGCAAGUCGAGCGCUUCCUUCGGGAAGAGCGGCGGACGGGUUAGUAACGCGUGGGAAUAUGCCCCUGGGUAAGGAACAACAGCUGGAAACGGCUGCUAAUACCUUAUGAUGUCUACGGACCAAAGAUUUAUCGCCCAGGGAUUAGCCCGCGUUGGAUUAGCUAGUUGGAGAGGUAACGGCUCACCAAGGCAACGAUCCAUAGCUGGUUUGAGAGGAUGAUCAGCAACACUGGGACUGAGACACGGCCCAG
rnacentral:rRNA from 1 species